AUUGAACGCUGGCGGCAGGCCUAACACAUGCAAGUCGAGCGGAGUGGCGGUCGGGUGUGUAAUGCCUAUGAAUCUGCCAGGUAGUGGGGGAUAACGUCCGGAAACGGACGCUAAUACUGCAUCCUAUUACAAGAGCCUAGGUGGGAUUAGCUUGUUGGUGGGGUAAGGGCCGCCCAAGGCGACGAUGCGUAUCUGGGCUGAGAGGAUGAGCAGUCACACUGGAACUGAGACACGGUCCAGACUCCUACGGGAGGCAGCAGUGGGGAAUAUUGGACAAUGGGCGAAAGCCUGAUCCAGCCAGGCCGCGUGUGUGAAGAAGGUCUUCGGAUUGUAAAGCACUUUAAGUUGUGAGGCGGUACCAACAGAAUAAGCACCGGCUAACUUCGUGCCAGCAGCCGCGGUAAUAC
rnacentral:rRNA from 1 species